rnacentral:lncRNA from 1 species
GGUGCUAUAGGAAUGUAGGCAGAAUUUUGGGUAGUCACUUAGGAGAGAAUUGGCUCUCUCGAAAAGCCAAAUACCGUUUGUUCUUUUUAUUUUCUUGUACUCCAAUUUCCGAAUAUGCUCUUCUUCUAGCAGAUUCACUUCCUUUUGUAUUCAGAGUUUAGAAGUGGGGUAUUUCAAUCACGUUCAAAUAUAAUUUCUGUUCAUUAAAUUACUCUAAAAUGUAUUGCGUGAAGUGAGAUUAUUGCAGGGUUUUAUAAAUUGGUAUCGGAGCACUCGAUUAUAGGGAGGAUGGAAACAAAUUUCAGCAAGGAGUUGGAGGAGAAAUGGAGCUCCAUAUUCAAUCAAUUCGAACAACUAAUGAUGCGACACAUAGAAGACCAAGCACUUGAUUCUGGAUUGGAUUCGCUUGGCCGUCUCAAGAUAUCGAUAUUUUUUUAUGGCAGUCCAGAAUGGUGGAUAAGGAAAGCAGAGGAAAUUUUCAAAAGAAAUCAAUUGUCGGAAAAAGAAAAAGUUAAAGCCGCAACAGCGUGUUGGGAUGGUAAAGCUUGGGGUGGGUCCAAUGGCUCGAUCGUCAACGACCCAUGCAAACUUGGGGAGAGUCAAAAAAAUUGAUGUUGGAUCGAUUUAGCAUGAGUAAGGGCUCUGUUGGUGAUGAAUUUUCAUCCUAGAAGCAGUGUGAUGGGCUGAAACAGAAGACAGAGAACAGAAAGCCAGAGAAAGAACCAUUGGCACCGGAGGAGGAACAUGAAAGGAAGGGGAAUGGACGAGUCGCUACUUCACUAGAAACCACCCACACAUCUGAAUUGCCACCUCCAUCUAAGGACAUCUGGGUAAAUCAAGGCAACAGGGAUCGACCUAAGAUAACCGCAGAAGACUGUAGAUCAAUUGAGAUCUUACCAUCACCAUCGCCGGAGGAGGAGAAGAGAUCGGAGUAGGUCGUGGAAUGGAUCUCUGUGAAUUGGCCGAAUAGAGAAAAGAACGAUGGAAAAAUAAUGGAUUACUUAGAGUUGUCUAGUGACAAGAAAUUAGGCCAUACUCAACCACAUGGACUGGGCCUUAUUAGGGAGCAAGCCCAACUGGUGGAGGACAUCGUUAAUUUCAUAAUAUAGGCCCAACGCUUCCUUUCAAAUCAAUGGGCCCAUAAGCAAACUCCAGGCCAGUUCAUUCCUUCGCAAAGCUCUCAAACGACAUCACUUUCACAAAACUCCCUCCAGAACGGUACGCGGGGGACUGGAACGACUGCAGGACCGCUGGCUGUCGAAAAAGCCAAUAAUCCAAUUUUCAAAAGGCGAACUGAAGUUGGAUUGCAGUCCAUGGAACUCAUGGGUCAAAUUAGAACAAAGUGAUGGUGGUUAUUCCCGAUUUGUUGACUGAUUGUUUGGAGAGGGAAAAAAUUAGCCUCCAUCAAAUUUUACUCUUGAUAUUAGAUGAGACAAGAAAAUUAAACUGGG